GAUGAACGCUGGCGGCGUGCCUAAUACAUGCAAGUCGAGCGAACAGACGAGGAGCUUGCUCCUCUGACGUUAGCGGCGGACGGGUGAGUAACACGUGGAUAACCUACCUAUAAUACUGGGAUAACUUCGGGAAACCGGAGCUAAUACCGGAUAAUAUAUUGAACCGCAUGGUUCAAUAGUGAAAGACGGUUUUGCUGUCACUUAUAGAUGGAUUCGCGCCGCAUUAGCUAGUUGGUAAGGUAACGGCUUACCAAGGCAACGAUGCGUAGCCGACCUGAGAGGGUGAUCGGCCACACUGGAACUGAGACACGGUCCAGACUCCUACGGGAGGCAGCAGUAGGGAAUCUUCCGCAAUGGGCGCAAGCCUGACGGAGCAACGCCGCGUGAGUGAUGAAGGUCUUCGGAUCGUAAAACUCUGUUAUUGGGGAAGAAAAAAUGUGUAAGUAACUAUGCACGUCUUGACGGUACCUAAUCAGAAAGCCACGGCUAACUACGUG
rnacentral:rRNA from 1 species